GAUGAACGCUGGCGGCGUGCCUAAUACAUGCAAGUCGAGCGAACAGAUGAGAAGCUUGCUUCUCUGAUGUUAGCGGCGGACGGGUGAGUAACACGUGGGUAACCUACCUAUAAGACUGGGAUAACUCCGGGAAACCGGGGCUAAUCCCGGAUAAUAUUUUGAACCGCAUGGUUAAAAAGUUACAGAAGGUUUCGGCUGUCACUUAUAGAUGGACCCGCGCCGUAUUAGCUAGUUGGUAAGGUAACGGCUUACAAAGGCGACAAUACGUAGCCGACCUGAGAGGGUGAUCGGCCACACUGGAACUGAGACACGGUCCAGACUCCUACGGGAGGCAGCAGUAGGGAAUCUUCCGCAAUGGGCGAAAGCCUGACGGAGCAACGCCGCGUGAGUGAUGAAGGUCUUCGGAUCGUAAGACUCUGUUAUUAGGGAAGAACAAAUGUGUAAGUAACUGUGCACAUCUUGACGGUACCUAAUCAGAAAGCCCCGGCUAACUCCGUGCCAGCCGCCGCCGUAA
rnacentral:rRNA from 1 species